UUACUGGCUUUGGGACACCUCACGGCGAUGGCUCCGGUAACUGAAGACUAGCCACUGGCACCAGGGCCAGGGGAACUAGCAAGGAUUUGGAAACUGUGGAACCUGAGCCCACGUAAAUGCAGGGAAUUAAGGCAGCCUCCAUGAGUCAGAAGCUGACAAGCAAUUCUAGAAAACACGUCCCGGGGGCAAAGCCAGGAGGCAUUCCAGGGGCAAGCAGCAGCCUGGGGACGUCACCAGGAGUGCGGGGUGUGCUACACCAGAGCUGAACCUGCCCAGUGCUAUGGGCGUCUGGGACCUGGCCAACAGGAGAACUGCCCGACUGAGGAAGUAGAACUGGUGCUGGUUCCAGAGUGUUCACGAUGUGCUAGACACCGGUGCUGCAGAGAUGAUCCUCACGGAGUGAUAGCCGAGUAGAGAAAGCAGUGAAGAAGGGACACUGCUUUUCCCCUUCCAGAGGGUGCAACAACAAAGGACCAUCUCAGAAGCAGAGAGCAGCCCUUACCAGUGAGGAAAAUGCUGCUACUUUGACCUUGGACUUCCCAGCUUCCAGAACUGUGAGAACUCACUGAAAGUUCUGGGGAGAAGAGAAAUGGCUCACAAAAAGACAAUGAAAUGUGAUAGAUCAAGGCCAUGAAUGAAGAUGACACAUGGGUGCUCCUCUGCCCUCCUCCAGGGGCUGCAGUGGGCCCCAAAGCACAGGCCAGCAGAAGAAGAAAGAAGUGGUCUUUCCCAGCCAGGACUCCCAGGGGAUCCAAAGCAUCCAGGAACUCAUAAAAACAGCACGGAGCCUCAUGACAAUGCUGAGGGUGGAUGAGAGGAGGAGCGAAAGGAGGAACAUGCCGGCUUGGAAGGGCUGUGAAUAUUCUGCUAUGAGUCAGCUUUCCAAAGGCAAAAACAGGCUUAAUCCCCAAGCCCCCCUUUCUGCACCCCUGUGCUCUUUGGCUGCAUCUUCCUUCUCCAGGACCAGUGUUUGCCGUGUCAGGAGCAGCUCUUACCCUGUGGAUCUCCUUUCUCCUCUUUCUUCUUUGGAGGCCAGAAUUCCUGCAUAUCCCACCCUACCCUCUCCACCCUUGCCUGUUCAAUGUGCCCAUGUCAGCCUCCAGCAAUGGCCCCUGCACCAGGCUGUCCUGGGUGUGCCCUUUCCAUCUACUGGAACUCAAGAAUGUGCCUCCCCCAGGAAGCCCAGGAUGCUUUUCAUAAGGGAUGUUCAAUGCCCCUCAUGGAUUCUCAGACACACAAGAACAAGCUGUAGAACAUAAAGUGAUUGCCAGCCUUCGAGCUACGCUGGGCCCUUCUCCUGCUUUUUGAUAAUCAGACACUUAGCUCAGGAUGGGGGAUAAAAGAUCUCCUUACACUGCACUGAAGAUUCUUAUCGUAUCUGUGAACAAUAAUUUUGUCCAGAUACACAGCAAUCUUUACCUUAGCUUGGUCCACUCUUAAAUUCUCAAUAGAUACAAAAUAACCAAUGAAGAAUGUUAAAAACAAACAAACAA